rnacentral:rRNA from 1 species
UACGGAGGGGGCUAGCGUUGUUCGGAAUUACUGGGCGUAAAGCGCGCGUAGGCGGAUCUGCAAGUCGGGGGUGAAAUCCCGAGGCUCAACCUCGGAACUGCCUUCGAUACUGCGGGUCUCGAGUCCGGGAGAGGUGAGUGGAAUUCCUAGUGUAGAGGUGAAAUUCGUAGAUAUUGGGAAGAACACCGGUGGCGAAGGCGGCGACCUGGUCCGAUACUGACGCUGAGGCGCGAAAGCGUGGGGAGCAAACAGG